rnacentral:rRNA from 1 species
GCUCAAAUUUGAAAUCCGGUACCUUUGGUGCCUGACUUGUAAUUUGGAGAGACAAAUUUGGUCGACAGCGCUGGCCUAGGUUCCUUUGAACAGGACAACACAGAGGGUCAGAAUACCGUGCAUGGUCGGAAUUGCUGUCACAUUGCUAAAUUGUCUUCGACGAGUCGAGUUGUUUGGGAAUGCAGCUCAAAAUGGGUGGUAAAUGUCAUCUAAAGCUAAAUAUUGGCGAGAGACCGAUAGCGCACAAGUAGAGUGAUCGAAAGAUGAAAAGCACUUUGAAAAGAGAGUCAAAAAGUACGUGAAAUUGCUGAAAGGGAAGCGCUUGAGACCAGACUCGAACCGCGGUGAUCAGCCGCGCUUCUGUGCGGAGUAACUUGCCGUGGUUUGGGCCAGCAUCGGUUCCGGCGGUCGGAUNNNNNNGUGGAGGAAUGUAGCUUCCUCCGGGGAGUGUUAANNNNNCGACCACCACAAUGCGGCCAGCUGGGACCGAGGAUCGCGCUGUACUUCUCGU